AAACCGCAAGUGUGCAGUCGCUGUAUGGCUUGACGCUGUGCAGAGGAAAGUCCGAACUUCACAGGGCAGGGUGCCGGUCGAGAACCUGGUUCAAGGCCGGGGGCAGCGGUGCAAACCGUCUGUCACAGAGAGUGCAACAGAAAGCAAACCGCCCCGGCUCCGGCCGGAGUAAGGGUGAAAAGGCGGUGUAAGAGACCACCAGGUGCGUCAGCAAUGCCGUACGCUAUGAAAACCUCCCCGAAGCAAGGCCAAAUAUGGAAGCUUUUUCCGCAAGGAAAGAAGGGUUGCCCGCCCAACGUUUCCGGGUAGGCCGCAUCAGAUAAAUGACUGCAGCUUCAUCACUCGAUGAUGAUUCACAGAAUUCGGCUUACAGCUUCGGUUUCAGC
rfam:Chlorobium limicola RNase P (rnpB) gene, RNA component.